GUCCACGCCGUAAACGAUGUCGAUUUGGAGGCUGUGUCCUUGAGACGUGGCUUCCGGAGCUAACGCGUUAAAUCGACCGCCUGGGGAGUACGGCCGCAAGGUUAAACUCAAAUGAAUUGACGGGGCCCGCACAAGCGGCGGAGCAUGCGGAUUAAUUCGAUGCAACGCGAAGAACCUUACCAAGGCUUGACAUACACCGGAAUCAUGCAGAGAUGUGUGCGUCUUCGGACUGGUGUACAGGUGGUGCAUGGUUGUCGU
rnacentral:rRNA from 1 species